UUGAGAAAUUAUUCAAAUAAAUGUCAUUUAUACAAAAUUUAAAACACAAAAAUUUCUUUUAAAAGUUUUCAUUACAAAAUUCUGAAUGCUUAUUUGAAUCUACUAACUGAGAUAUGAAAGCAGGUUUUUUUUUAACGAGUUUCUCACAUCUGCAUCAUAAAUGUCAUUUGGAACGGUAAAAAUAAAAUCAGUCCAAAUAGCCACAAGUUGUUACCAUUGGAUAAUAAAGAUUAAUUUGGUGUUCGGUGGCCUUAAACUUAACCAAUCAUGGAGCAGUGGUUGAGUUCUGGCUCAAAACCCUGAGGUCCGAGGUUCGACGUUGGCUUUGCCCAAUAAGCGCCAUUGCUAAGGAAGAAGGCAUGAACAUUCUUGUUAAAUGCUUUUUCGCAGUACUCUAUGGUAAGACCGUUAGGACUUCUGAGAGUACAUUAAUAAUUAUUAAAAAAAAAAUAUUUUAUAUAAAUAUUUUUUUGAAAACUAAUAUAAAUAAAUUUAGCACAAGAGCAACUGGAAACUAUAUAGUACAAGAGCCAACAACACCAAGAGGGUUAGGACGCACUGACCACCACCACCCCCUUUUUUCUGAGAGACUUUUUUUUUUUUUUAAAUUUCUACAUAUAGAGGUUUUUAAGAAAUUAACGAUUGUGCCCCUCCACUUCAAAACCCAUGUCAGCCCCGAGUACUCUUGAAAAAAAGAAAAUUAUAUUAAUUCUUUAUAGCACAUUGUGGUCCUUACCUGACAACUCUUCUGGAAAUAUGAUCUCUUCUGAAAAAUAUAAAUUCCUUAAAAUGCAAUCUAAAAAAACUCAUUAUAGAUAAAAACAAUAA